UCCGUCGGAAUCUGGGAGGACCAUCUCCUAAGGCUAAAUACUCUCUAGUGACCGAUAGUGAACCAGUACCGUGAGGGAAAGGUGAAAAGCACCCCGGAAGGGGAGUGAAAUAGAACCUGAAACCGUGUGCUUACAAGUAGUCAGAGCCCGUUAAUGGGUGAUGGCGUGCCUUUUGUAGAAUGAACCGGCGAGUUACGAUUUGAUGCAAGGUUAAGCAGUAAAUGUGGAGCCGUAGCGAAAGCGAGUCUGAAUAGGGCGUUUAGUAUUUGGUCGUAGACCCGAAACCAGGUGAUCUACCCUUGGUCAGGUUGAAGUUCAGGUAACACUGAAUGGAGGACCGAACCGACUUACGUUGAAAAGUGAGCGGAUGAACUGAGGGUAGCGGAGAAAUUCCAAUCGAACCUGGAGAUAGCUGGUUCUCUCCGAAAUAGCUUUAGGGCUAGCCUCAAGUGAUGAUUAUUGGAGGUAGAGCACUGUUUGGACGAGGGGCCCCUCUCGGGUUACCGAAUUCAGACAAACUCCGAAUGCCAAUUAAUUUAACUUGGGAGUCAGAACAUGGGUGAUAAGGUCCGUGUUCGAAAGGGAAACAGCCCAGACCACCAGCUAAGGUCCCAAAAUAUAUGUUAAGUGGAAAAGGAUGUGGCGUUGCCCAGACAACUAGGAUGUUGGCUUAGAAGCAGCCAUCAUUUAAAGAGUGCGUAAUAGCUCACUAGUCGAGUGACACUGCGCCGAAAAUGUACCGGGGCUAAACAUAUUACCGAAGCUGUGGAUUGUCCUUUGGACAAUGGUAGGAGAGCGUUCUAAGGGCGUUGAAGCAUGAUCGUAAGGACAUGUGGAGCGCUUAGAAGUGAGAAUGCCGGUGUGAGUAGCGAAAGACGGGUGAGAAUCCCGUCCACCGAUUGACUAAGGUUUCCAGAGGAAGGCUCGUCCGCUCUGGGUUAGUCGGGUCCUAAGCUGAGGCCGACAGGCGUAGGCGAUGGAUAACAGGUUGAUAUUCCUGUACCACCUAUAAUCGUUUUAAUCGAUGGGGGGACGCAGUAGGAUAGGCGAAGCGUGCGAUUGGAUUGCACGUCUAAGCAGUAAGGCUGAGUAUUAGGCAAAUCCGGUACUCGUUAAGGCUGAGCUGUGAUGGGGAGAAGACAUUGUGUCUUCGAGUCGUUGAUUUCACACUGCCGAGAAAAGCCUCUAGAUAGAAAAUAGGUGCCCGUACCGCAAACCGACACAGGUAGUCAAGAUGAGAAUUCUAAGGUGAGCGAGCGAACUCUCGUUAAGGAACUCGGCAAAAUGACCCCGUAACUUCGGGAGAAGGGGUGCUCUUUAGGGUUAACGCCCAGAAGAGCCGCAGUGAAUAGGCCCAAGCGACUGUUUAUCAAAAACACAGGUCUCUGCUAAACCGUAAGGUGAUGUAUAGGGGCUGACGCCUGCCCGGUGCUGGAAGGUUAAGAGGAGUGGUUAGCUUCUGCGAAGCUACGAAUCGAAGCCCCAGUAAACGGCGGCCGUAACUAUAACGGUCCUAAGGUAGCGAAAUUCCUUGUCGGGUAAGUUCCGACCCGCACGAAAGGCGUAACGAUUUGGGCACUGUCUCAACGAGAGACUCGGUGAAAUCAUAGUACCUGUGAAGAUGCAGGUUACCCGCGACAGGACGGAAAG
rnacentral:rRNA from 1 species